rnacentral:rRNA from 1 species
CACGUAGGGCGCAAGCGUUGUCCGGAAUUAUUGGGCGUAAAGAGCUCGUAGGCGGUCUGUCGCGUCUGCUGUGAAAACCUGGGGCUUAACCCCGGGCCUGCAGUGGGUACGGGCAGACUAGAGUGCGGUAGGGGAGACUGGAAUUCCUGGUGUAGCGGUGAAAUGCGUAGAUAUCAGGAGGAACACCGGUGGCGAAGGCGGGUCUCUGGGCCGUAACUGACGCUGAGGAGCGAAAGCAUGGGGAGCGAACAGG